UACCUCAGUAACGGCGAGUGAAGCGGUAACAGCUCAAAUUUGAAAUCUGGCUCUUUCAGGGUCCGAGUUGUAAUUUGUAGAAGAUGCUUUGGGCAUUGCUCCGGUCUAAGUUCCUUGGAACAGGACGUCAUAGAGGGUGAGAAUCCCGUAUGUGACUGGUGGCAUUUGUCCGUGUAAAGCUCUUUCGACGAGUCGAGUUGUUUGGGAAUGCAGCUCAAAAUGGGUGGUAUAUUUCAUCUAAAGCUAAAUAUUGGCCAGAGACCGAUAGCGCACAAGUAGAGUGAUCGAAAGAUGAAAAGCACUUUGGAAAGAGAGUUAAACAGUACGUGAAAUUGUUGAAAGGGAAGCGCUUGCAACCAGACUUGCAGGUCGUUGAUCAUCCGGGGUUCUCCCCGGUGCACUCGGCGGCUUUCAGGCCAGCAUCGGUUUGAGUGGUGGGAUAAAGGCCUUGGGAAUGUGGCUCCUUUCGGGGAGUGUUAUAGCCCAAGGUGCAAUGCCGCCUAUUCGGACCGAGGACCGCGCUUCGGCUAGGAUGCUGGCGUAAUGGUUGUAAGCGACCCGUCUUGAAACACGGACCAAGGAGUCUAACAUCUAUGCGAGUGUUUGGGUGUCAAACCCAUACGCGUAAUUAACGUGAACGGAGGUAAGAACCCUUAAGGGUGCAUUAUCGACCGAUCCUGAUGUCUUCGGAUGGAUUUGAGUAAGAGCAUAGCUGUUGGGACCCGAAAGAUGGUGAACUAUGCCUGAAUAGGGUGAAGCCAGAGGAAACUCUGGUGGAGGCUCGCAGCGGUUCUGACGUGCAAAUCGAUCGUCAAA
rnacentral:rRNA from 1 species